CUUUGAUGCCAGACCGCGCGCACCACACGUAGGUGGGGUCCGGAGUGCUGAGGACAAUUCAAAGAUGAAAAAGACAACUUAGUUCCUGCCUUCCAAGAGCUCACAAUUUAGCAAUGGAAAAAAAUAUAGAGACUCCUACUUUGAAGCUUUAUUCAUACAUUAACACUUCUCUUGGACGUUUUAAGAGACAGACGUCACAGACAACAUACAGAACAACUUGUCUGCAGUGGUUGCUCUCUGAUCUUGGCAAGAACAGUACAAACUGUCUGUAUCCUGCCUGUAUCCUGCGGCUAGUUUUCUCCAAACCCUAAGGCUAUCACUCAGAACAUCGGUUAUCUAAGUACUUAAAAUACAUGUAGCCAUUUGUUACAAACAAG
ensembl:lncRNA